rnacentral:rRNA from 1 species
UAACGACGAUAUGCUUUGGGGAGCUGUAAGUAAGCUUUGAUCCAGAGAUUUCCGAAUGGGGAAACCCAGCAUGAGUUAUGUCAUGUUAUCGAUAUGUGAAUACAUAGCAUAUCAGAAGGCACACCCGGAGAACUGAAACAUCUUAGUACCCGGAGGAAGAGAAAGAAAAUUCGAUUCCCUUAGUAGCGGCGAGCGAAACGGGAAGAGCCCAAACCAACAAGCUUGCUUGUUGGGGUUGUAGGACACUCUAUACGGAGUUACAAAGGACGACAUUAGACGAAUCAUCUGGAAAGAUGAAUCAAAGAAGGUAAUAAUCCUGUAGUCGAAAAUGUUGUCUCUCUUGAGUGGAUCCUGAGUACGACGGAGCACGUGAAAUUCCGUCGGAAUCUGGGAGGACCAUCUCCUAAGGCUAAAUACUCUCUAGUGACCGAUAGUGAACCAGUACCGUGAGGGAAAGGUGAAAAGCACCCCGGAAGGGGAGUGAAAUAGAACCUGAAACCGUGUGCUUACAAGUAGUCAGAGCCCGUUAAUGGGUGAUGGCGUGCCUUUUGUAGAAUGAACCGGCGAGUUACGAUUUGAUGCAAGGUUAAGCAGUAAAUGUGGAGCCGUAGCGAAAGCGAGUCUGAAUAGGGCGUUUAGUAUUUGGUCGUAGACCCGAAACCAGGUGAUCUACCCUUGGUCAGGUUGAAGUUCAGGUAACACUGAAUGGAGGACCGAACCGACUUACGUUGAAAAGUGAGCGGAUGAACUGAGGGUAGCGGAGAAAUUCCAAUCGAACCUGGAGAUAGCUGGUUCUCUCCGAAAUAGCUUUAGGGCUAGCCUCAAGUGAUGAUUAUUGGAGGUAGAGCACUGUUUGGACGAGGGGCCCCUCUCGGGUUACCGAAUUCAGACAAACUCCGAAUGCCAAUUAAUUUAACUUGGGAGUCAGAACAUGGGUGAUAAGGUCCGUGUUCGAAAGGGAAACAGCCCAGACCACCAGCUAAGGUCCCAAAAUAUAUGUUAAGUGGAAAAGGAUGUGGCGUUGCCCAGACAACUAGGAUGUUGGCUUAGAAGCAGCCAUCAUUUAAAGAGUGCGUAAUAGCUCACUAGUCGAGUGACACUGCGCCGAAAAUGUACCGGGGCUAAACAUAUUACCGAAGCUGUGGAUUGUCCUUUGGACAAUGGUAGGAGAGCGUUCUAAGGGCGUUGAAGCAUGAUCGUAAGGACAUGUGGAGCGCUUAGAAGUGAGAAUGCCGGUGUGAGUAGCGAAAGACGGGUGAGAAUCCCGUCCACCGAUUGACUAAGGUUUCCAGAGGAAGGCUCGUCCGCUCUGGGUUAGUCGGGUCCUAAGCUGAGGCCGACAGGCGUAGGCGAUGGAUAACAGGUUGAUAUUCCUGUACCACCUAUAAUCGUUUUAAUCGAUGGGGGGACGCAGUAGGAUAGGCGAAGCGUGCGAUUGGAUUGCACGUCUAAGCAGUAAGGCUGAGUAUUAGGCAAAUCCGGUACUCGUUAAGGCUGAGCUGUGAUGGGGAGAAGACAUUG